UNGUAGGAAGUGUACUAGGUUCCAAAUGC
rnacentral:piRNA from 1 species